rnacentral:lncRNA from 10 species
CAGAUCAUCAUGACACUCACCUCCCUGCUAAGUGUCCUGCAAGGCCUUUCACGGUCUGAUCCCCUAUCCUUUCUCUUUCCUCAUCUCCUAUCACUCUUGCCCUUGCAAAUUUUCUUCCAGCACUCUGGCCUCCUUGCUGUUCUUCAGUAUGGCAAGCAACCUGCUGCCCGGAGCCCACACACUGACUGUCCCCUCUCCUAGGACACUCUUCCCUCAAGGGCUCCCAUAUCUUGCCUGCUGGCUCCUGCAUCUUCUUCAAGUCUGCUCAAAUGUCACCUUCUCAGUGAGGCCCAUCCUGGCUAUCCUCUUUCAGUUCUGACAGAAAAUAAUUUAUUGCUUUAUUACAUCAUUAUUUUGUUGUCUUCCCUCCGUCUGUUCCUACUAAAAUUUAAUCUCUGAGAAAGCAGAAAACGUUGUCUUGUUCUUUCCUGUAACCCAAGUGCCUUGAACAUUGCCUCAUUAAUUGCUUGCGCUCAGUAAUAUGUGUUGAAUAAAUGGGUUAAGUAGUUUAUUAAUUGUGAAACUAAAUCCUGUCUGAAAGGUUUGGAGCAGCUUGUUGAAAUAGCAAAUGGAGAUUCUGUGUUUUAAGUUGUGGCUAAGGUAGAAUCAUCCAUGAUGUAUGUGGAGCCAGCUCCUGUGUCCUGGACUUAAACAUCUGUAUCUGACGUGUGGGUAAUUAUAUUGCUAUCCUACACCUUUGACCCAUUCAUCUCGGCUCACCUGUGAUCCAGGCUAUGCUACUAAAGUUGGGUGAGAGAGUCUGCAACACAAGGAAAACAUAGAGCCAUCAUUUAGUAAAUCAAACCCAUAAUAAUACAUUUUGUUGUUAAAUGU